rnacentral:sRNA from 1 species
GCAAGAUCGGUACUGGUAAGUAAUUAGGAGUUCCUGUUCUGGUGCUGCACAUGGUUCUCUGUUUCAAUGAAGCAACUUGUGUUGAUCUGCAAAUGGCAACACUAUCAUGCAUUGGUUCAGUGAAAUGGACCUAACACAUGACAAGUAUUUAUGCCAUUUACAUAUUUAUGCAGUAGAGACAGGUUUUCUUAUUGGCCAAAACUCAGAUACAUUUUUCAAAGUCUUUUUGUACUGUUCUUCCAUCACAAUUGAGGUUCAACUUGACAACAUUACAAUAAAGGUGGAC